UACGUAGGGGGCUAGCGUUGUCCGGAAUCAUUGGGCGUAAAGCGCGCGUAGGCGGUUACUUAAGUUGGAUGUGAAAGCCCUCGGCUUAACCGAGGAAGUGCAUCCAAAACUGAGUAGCUAGAGUACGAAAGAGGGUCGCGGAAUUCCCGGUGUAGAGGUGAAAUUCGUAGAUAUUGGGAGGAACACCGGUGGCGAAGGCGGCGACCUGGGUCGAGACUGACGCUGAGGCGCGAAAGCGUGGGGAGCAAACGGG
rnacentral:rRNA from 1 species